rnacentral:rRNA from 1 species
AACGAACGCUGGCGGCAGGCCUAACACAUGCAAGUCGAACGCGCGUAGCAAUACGCGAGUGGCGCACGGGUGAGUAACGCGUGGGUAACCUACCUCGAAGUUUGGAAUAACCCGGGGAACCUGAGCUAAUACCGGAUGAGCCUACGAGGCCUUCGGGUCAUGUGGGAAAGAUGGCCUCUGCUUGCAAGCUAUCGCUACGAGAUGAGCCCGCGUCCCAUUAGCUAGNGGUGAGGUAACGGCUCACCAAGGCGACGAUGGGUAGCUGGUCUGAGAGGACGAUCAGCCACACUGGAACUGAGACACGGUCCAGACUCCUACGGGAGGCAGCAGUCGGGAAUAUUGGGCAAUGGGCGCAAGCCUGACCCAGCGACGCCGCGUGA